rnacentral:lncRNA from 1 species
CGUUCGCAUGAUCGGUAGACAGAUAGAAAAGGCUAUAUAUUGUUUUCUUCUACGCUAAACAUUCGAACGUCGAAGCAUCGGCCUGUUGAUUGUCGAGCGCAGUGGAACGCACAUGUUUGUACACGUUCGUGUAUUAUGCAGUCGGGUUUUCUUUUGUGUGUGCCUAGGCUAUCUUGCGAGUAUCGGCGCUUUGGUUAAUUGAAUUAUUAACCUUAUUUCCCAUUAUUGCCUUGAACGGAAAGCUGUUCUGUUCCGCAAAAAGAAAAAGAGUUAGGCUCGGGCUCGAUUUCAUCAUCAUCUCUCUCUCUCUCUCUCUCUCUCUCUCUCUCUCUCUCUACAGAAGGUGGGAAAAGCCAGUUUAUUAAGAUUUGUUUCGUGUUAUUAUUACAAAAUUAGGAGCAUUAGAAAACUCAAUGAAUAUACUUCUUCCAAUGGUGAAGCAACUUAUAGUACACUUCCGACUAUUGAAAGUAUCUCAUAUGGAAGGUGUUCCCAAACUUCCAAUUGACAGUGAUGAAAAUUUGGAAGAAUUCGAAAGGUUUUUGGAUACUAAUACAAAUUUGGAGUACAUGGUUAAUACUUUAAGCAUAUCAGGUGGCACAACUGUUUCUCAGAUCAGUAGAAGGACUCUGGAAAGAAUAAUUACAAAUAAUUAUGCUAGAAAUUUUAACGGCAGGAAGAACACCGAAGAAAUCUUUCAAGAUUCUUAAAAUAAAGGACUUAGUCAUAGCUAUUGUCAAGGCUAUUGAACCAAAUGCUGCAAUAUAUGAUGUAGAAAAGUCCAUAAAAGAUUAGCUCAAAUUAGCACCUCUUCGUGUAACCUUAGCCGAUUCCAGGGCAUUGAAGACAAAUUCAAGAAAAGUAUAAUUUCUCAUCGUUUCAGUUUCGAUAUUAAUGUUUAUUUUGUAUUUACAUAUUUCUAUCCAUUCCAUUUCAAGAAUUUGAGAUUUAUUAUUUAGUAAUUUGCAGGACAAUUAGGAAUAUGUAUUAUCAUAGUAUUCUGCAAUGUACUCGCACUCGCCACUGAAACGUGUUCUCAUUGAAGCAUUAAAAUAAGUAUAUAUCUCUUUACCACCUAAUAAUGUAUCGCAAAGAUGACCGAUAAUAUAAAAGCACUGUUAGUUGUUUUGUUAUAAUGUUAUGCGUAAUACAAUUAUGUAAUUAAAAAUUAAAACCAAAAUCGAUAAAAACUUUUAGUUUAAAAACUUACAUUUAAAACUUAAAUUUAAAACUUAGUACAUAUAUGUAUACGCAAUGUGCAAUAUUAUAUACUUUUACACAUUUUUAGUUGGCGAUGUUUCUGAUACUUUGACGGUGGUAAAAAGAUAUAACAAAAAUUAUAUACUUUAAUACCAUAAAAAUAUCAGUAACAGUUUAGCAUUUUAUUUUAUAAUGUUUCAGUUUUAUAUUAUGUAUUAGUUUAAUAUUACAUUAACAUUUAGUUUAUUUUGUAGCUUGUGUGUGUAAUUCUUUUACAACUUUUAUAUGCGUUAAUUAAUUUUAUUUUAACGUUGUUAUUUACUCUUUAAACAUUAAGUAUCACAUUUAUUCUCAUUUAUAAUACUAAAAACAUCGUACUUUAAGUUGUACCGACAUUUUCCUUAUAAAACAUAUACAAAAAAAACCUGAAGCUUUGUACAAAUGUACAAUUCUAAAUUGUGUUGAUUUCUAAAAUAUAUUAUUUAUAAUUAUGUUCUGCAAAUGUUAU